ensembl:lncRNA
CGUUGGCGCUCUGCUCUCUCUCUGUGUCGUCUGCGUCUCUCCCUGGCUUUCUGUAUGGCUCUGAGCUCGGGGGGCUGCUCUAACUCACGAGCCUUCUUCAGGUGAGCUGCCGCGUGGGCCAUGGCUCACACACACACACCACACACACACUCUUUCUAGCUGACUUUUAGUCAAGCAAAACUUGUCUUUCGCUUAAACUCUCCCUCUCUAACUCUCACACACACUUUCUCAGACACACUCUCCGUCUGUCCUUUAGGUAAAAACACUAGUAGACUAGUUAUGAAGUAUGGAGCUGAAGAUCCUCUUGAGGUCCAGUCUUCAGUCUAGUCAACAACACGAAGCUGGAGGUUCUCUUGAGAUCCAGUCUUCAGUCUAGUCAACGAUACGGAGCUGGAGGUCCUCUUGAGAUCCAGUCUUCAGUCUGGUCAACGACACGGAGCUGGAGGUCCUCUUGAGAUCCAGUCUUCAGUCUAGUCAACGAUAUGGAGCUGGAGGUUCUCUUGAGAUCCAGUCUUCAGUCUAGUCAACGAUAUGGAGCUGGAGGUUCUCUUGAGGUCCAGUCUUCAGUCUAGUCAACGAUAUGGAGCUGGAGGAUCCUCUUGAGGUCCAGUCUUCAGUCUAGUCAACGAUAUGGAGCUGGAGGAUCCUCUUGAGGUCCAGUCUUCAGUCUAGUCAACGAUAUGGAGCUGGAGGUCCUCUUGAGGUCUAGUCUUCAGUCUAGUCAACGAUAUGGAGUUGGAGGAUCCUCUUGAGGUCCAGUCUUCAGUCUAGUCAACGAUAUGGAGCUGGAGGUCCUCUUGAGGUCCAGUCUUCAGUCUAGUCAAUGACACAGAGCUGGUGCCAUGAGUAUCCAAUAGAUCAAUUAUUAAUCGAGUUUCCAUGUCUAUUAUCUAUGUAUUCAUCUAUGCAUGCUAAUGAGCCAGUUGUAUUGCCUCAAUGGUCUUGUCUGGCAUGUGUUGAAUGUAGUUGGUCAGCUGGUAGUCACCUGGUAGUCACCUGGUAGUCACCUGGAAGUCGUCUGGAAGUCAUCUGGAAGUCGUCUGGAAGUCGUCUGGUAGUCAUCUGGUAGUCAUCUGGUAGUCACCCGGUAGUCAUCUGGUAGUCACCUGGAAGUCGUCUGGUAGUCACCUGGUAGUCACCUGGAAGUUGUCUGAAAGUUGUCUGGUAGUCACCUGGUAGUCACCUGGUAGUCGUCUGGACUGAAAUACCAGUAAAUGUGAUGAUGUCGUAAAAAUCCCUUUUGGUAGAAAACAGUAAGUCCUUUACUGGUUCCCCUUGUUCUUAACCAACCAGACUGAGAUCAUGUGUUUUAAGUCCUUCCUCCCUCUGUUCCCUCUCUUUCUCUCAUCCCUUCUUCCUCCCUCGCGGACCCGAUGGAGAGAGUGUUGUCAGGACAUGAGAGACAAAGACACUAAGACUACUGGAGCAACUCUCUCUCUGUCUCUGUCUCUCCGUCUACCUCUCUGUCUCUGUCUAUCUCUCUCCGUCUCUCUCUCUCUCCUUGUCUCUCUCUCUCUCUCUCUCUCUCUCACAGACACAUCCAC